GAUGAACGCUGGCGGCGUGCCUAAUACAUGCAAGUCGAGCGAACAGACGAGGAGCUUGCUCCUCUGACGUUAGCGGCGGACGGGUGAGUAACACGUGGAUAACCUACCUAUAAGACUGGGAUAACUUCGGGAAACCGGAGCUAAUACCGGAUAAUAUAUUGAACCGCAUGGUUCAAUAGUGAAAGACGGUUUUGCUGUCACUUAUAGAUGGAUCCGCGCCGCAUUAGCUAGUUGGUAAGGUAACGGCUUACCAAGGCAACGAUGCGUAGCCGACCUGAGAGGGUGAUCGGCCACACUGGAGCUGAGACACGGUCCAGACUCCUACGGGAGGCAGCAGUAGGGAAUCUUCCGCAAUGGGCGAAAGCCUGACGGAGCAACGCCGCGUGAGUGAUGAAGGUCUUCGGAUCGUAAAACUCUGUUAUUAGGGAAGAAAAAAUGUGUAAGUAACUAUGCACGUCUUGACGGUACCUAAUCAGAAAGCCACGGCUAACUACGUG
rnacentral:rRNA from 1 species